GCUGGGCAUGGUGGCAAACACCUAUAAUCCCUGCUACGAGGGAGGCUGAGGUCAGGAGUUAGACACCUCAAAAUAAGGCUAAAGCUGAUCAGAUAUGGCCACAAAGUCUGGUACCAAUACGGUGAUCUCCUGGAGGGGAAUCUCCAGGCUCCUUAAAAAGGGACAAACUGACUCAGGUCAGAAACGGAGCAGGUCAAAGUUCCUGUGCCAGGCAGCGGUGGGAUUGAGCCCAUGAGUGACUAUUGUACUUCCAGCCUCAG
rnacentral:SRP_RNA from 1 species